rnacentral:rRNA from 1 species
CGCGGCCUAUCAGCUUGUUGGUGAGGUAACGGCUCACCAAGGCGACGACGGGUAGCUGGUCUGAGAGGACGACCAGCCACACUGGGACUGAGAUACGGCCCAGACUCCUACGGGAGGCAGCAGUGGGGAAUCUUGCGCAAUGGGCGAAAGCCUGACGCAGCGACACCGCGUGGGGGAUGAAGGCCCUCGGGUUGUAAACCCCUUUCGGCAGGGACGAAGCGGAAGUGACGGUACCUGCAGAAGAAGCCCCGGCUAACUACGUGCCAGCAGCCGCGGUAAGACGUAGGGGGCGAGCGUUGUCCGGAAUCAUUGGGCGUAAAGCGCGCGCAGGCGGCCGUGCAAGUCGGUUGUGAAAUCCCGGGGCUCAACCCCGGGACUGCGUCCGAUACUGCACGGCUAGAGGCAGGUAGGGGAGAUCGGAAUUCCUGGUGUAGCGGUGAAAUGCGCGGAUGUCAGGAGGAACACCGGUGGCGAAGGCGGAUCUCUGGGCCUGUUCUGACGCUCAGGCGCGAAAGCUAGGGGAGCGAACAGGAUUAGAUACCCUGGUAGUCCUAGCCGUAAACGUUGGGCGCUAGGUGUGGGUGGACAUCGACCCCAUCCGUGCCGAAGCUAACGCAUUAAGCGCCCCGCCUGGGGAGUACGGA